UACGGGGGGAGCAAGCGUUGUUCGGAUUUACUGGGCGUAAAGGGCGCGUAGGCGGCGCAACAAGUCACUUGUGAAAUCUCCGGGCUUAACCCGGAGCGGCCAAGUGAUACUGUCGUGCUAGAGUGCGGAAGGGGCUACUGGAAUUCUCGGUGUAGCGGUGAAAUGCGUAGAUAUCGAGAGGAACACCGGCGGCGAAGGCGGGUAGCUGGGCCGACACUGACGCUGAGGCGCGAAAGCCAGGGGAGCGAACGGG
rnacentral:rRNA from 1 species